rnacentral:rRNA from 1 species
GACGAACGCUGGCGGCGUGCUUAACACAUGCAAGUCGAACGUGAGUUUUGUGGAAAUUCUUUCGUGAAUGGACAUGAAAUGAAAGUGGCGAACGGGUGAGUAACACGUGAUCAACCUACCUUACACAGGGGGAUAGCCUUUGGAAACGACGAUUAAUACCGCAUGAGACCACAGAAUCGCAUGAUAUAGGGGUCAAAGAUUUAUCGGUGUAAGAAGGGCUCGCGUCUGAUUAGCUAGUUGGAAGGGUAAAGGCCUACCAAGGCGACGAUCAGUAGCCGGUCUGAGAGGAUGAACGGCCACAUCGGAACUGAGACACGGUCCAGAAUAUUACGGGAGGCAGCCGUGGGGAAUACUGCAAAAUCGGGGGAACACUGAUGCAGCGCCGCCGCGUGAGCGAAGAAGGUUUUAGAAUAGUAAAGCUCUGUCAUAUGAGAAGAUACUGACGGUAUCAUAGGAGGAAGCACCGGCUAAAUACGUG